rnacentral:rRNA from 1 species
CACGUAGUUAGCCGUGGCUUUCUGAUUAGGUACCGUCAAGAUGUGCACAGUUACUUACACAUUUGUUCUUCCCUAAUAACAGAGUUUUACGAGCCGAAACCCUUCAUCACUCACGCGGAGUUGCUCCGUCAGGCUUUCGCCCAUUGCGGAAGAUUCCCUAUGCUGCCUCCCGUAGGAGUCUGGACCGUGUCUCAGUUCCAGUGUGGCCGAUCACCCUCUCAGGUCGCUACGUAUCGUCGCCCUGGUAACGCCGUUACCUUACCAACUAGCUAAGUACGGCGCGGGUCCAUCUAUAAGUGAUAGACAAACCAUCUUUCACUUUAGAACCAUGCGGUUACUAAAUGUUAUCCGGUAUUACGUCGUACCCGGUUUACCCGAAGUUAC